CUUUGGGUAUUAAGUAGUUAAAACUUUCCAAAUCCCGCCAGGACCGGAAGGUAGCAACGGUAGGUAUAGGUUUAUCGUACUUAAACUGCUCAGAGGGA
rfam:Spirochaetes bacterium GWB1_27_13 gwb1_scaffold_4937, whole genome shotgun sequence.